rnacentral:rRNA from 1 species
UAGGGAAUCUUCCACAAUGGCGAAAGCCUGAUGGAGCAACGCCGCGUGUGUGAUGAAGGGUUUCGGCUCGUAAAACACUGUUGUAAGAGAAGAAUGACAUUGAGAGUAACUGUUCAGUGUGUGACGGUAUCUUACCAGAAAGGAACGGCUAAAUACGUGCCAC